rnacentral:rRNA from 1 species
AUGCACGCUGGCGGCGUGCCUAAUACCUGCCAGUCGAGCGAACAGAUGAGGAGCUUGCUCCUCUGACGUUAGCGGCGGACGGGUGAGUAACACGUGGAUAACCUACCUAUAAGACUGGGAUAACUUCGGGAAACCGGAGCUAAUACCGGAUAAUAUAUUUAACCGCAUGGUUCAAUAGUGAAAGACGGUUUUGCUGUCACUUAUAGAUGGAUCCGCGCCGCAUUAGCUAGUUGGUAAGGUAACGGCUUACCAAGGCAACGAUGCGUAGCCGACCUGAGAGGGUGAUCGGCCACACUGGAACUGAGACACGGUCCAGACUCCUACGGGAGGCAGCAGUAGGGAAUCUUCCGCAAUGGGCGAAAGCCUGACGGAGCAACGCCGCGUGAGUGAUGAAGGUCUUCGGAUCGUAAAACUCUGUUAUUAGGGAAGAACAAAUGUGUAAGUAACUAUGCACGUCUUGACGGUACCUAAUCAGAAAGCCACGGCUAACUACGUG